GUAUAAUGAAUUUGAUUUAAUUUUAUUCCUAUUUUAUAUUAUCUUUCGAUUAAUUAGAUUAUCCUUAUUUUAUUUAGAUGUAUUGGAUACUAUUAGCAUUCGUUAUAUCGGUUUUCAUGGUCGUCACGACUCCCGAUCAGAGUGAUCAUUCAACUGACGAACAAGAUUAUGAUCAUCCGAAUCUACAUGAGAUGAACAUGGCUAGG
rnacentral:lncRNA from 1 species